CGUGCAGACCGCUCUAUCGCCCCGAGUACUCGGGGAGGAAAGUCCGGGCAACACAGGGCAUCGUACUUCUUAACAGGAAGGCGGGUGAAAGCUUGCAGUAAGGUAACAGAAAAUGACCACCUGGUUUUGACGUGUCACGACCGGGAACGGGUGAAAAGGUGAGGUAAAAGCUCACCGGUGGUGGUGGCAACAUCGCCAGCCGUACCUCUUGCGGGUUGCAAAGCCAAAUAUAUCACGAUUUUCCCCCGAGGAUUCGGGGGAAUACAGAACGGCCCGUUUUGAUUCUUCGGAAGUCGUGAGGGGUAGGCUGCUUGAUCGUUCCGGUGACGGAACGGGUAGAUAAAUGAUAGAGGUUCGUCGAAAGAGGGAUACAGAACCCGGCUUACAGGUUUGCGUUUUUU
rnacentral:RNase_P_RNA from 1 species